GAGCGUUCUGAAGACCUGCUCUCUAGGCUACUUGCGGAGGACUUGUUCCUCUUGGCUUCCUCGCCGCCUAGGGGAAAGUCCCCGGACCCCGGGCAGAGAGUGCCGCGUGCUUUUACGCGCGUUAUACCCUCUCGCAAGCUCACGCUUCUUCCGCCAAGAAGCCCCAGGGCCGAGCGGGUGAGUGCGGAGGGGCUCUCGUCAGCUCCAUAGUUACGCAGGUAGUGCGCAUGUGCUCCUUUCCCAAGGAGGCGGUCGCACCAACAAAACGGGGCUCAUUCUCGGGACGCU
ensembl:ribozyme RNase_MRP RNase MRP